rnacentral:rRNA from 1 species
GACGAACGCUGGCGGCGUGCUUAACACAUGCAAGUCGAACGGAAAGGCCCUGCUUUUGUGGGGUGCUCGAGUGGCGAACGGGUGAGUAACACGUGAGUAACCUGCCCUUGACUUUGGGAUAACUUCAGGAAACUGGGGCUAAUACCGGAUAGGAGCUCCUGCUGCAUGGUGGGGGUUUGAAAGUUUCGGCGGUUGGGGAUGGACUCGCGGCUUAUCAGCUUGUUAGUGGGGUAGUGGCUUACCAAGGCUUUGACGGGUAGCCGGCCUGAGAGGGUGACCGGCCACAUUGGGACUGAGAUACGGCCCAGACUCCUACGGGAGGCAGCAGUGGGGAAUAUUGCACAAUGGGCGGAAGCCUGAUGCAGCAACGCCGCGUGCGGGAUGACGGCCUUCGGGUUGUAAACCGCUUUCGCCUGUGACGAAGCGUGAGUGACGGUAAUGGGUAAAGAAGCACCGGCUAACUACGUG